GAUGAACGCUGGCGGCGUGCCUAAUACAUGCAAGUCGAGCGCAGGAAACUGACGGAACUCUUCGGAGGGAAGGCAGUGGAAUGAGCGGCGGACGGGUGAGUAACACGUAAGGAACCUGCCUCAAGGAUUGGGAUAACUCCGAGAAGUCGGAGCUAAUACCGGAUAGUUCAACGGACCGCAUGGUCCGUUGAUGAAAGGCGCUCCGGCGUCACCUUGAGAUGGCCUUGCGGUGCAUUAGCUAGUUGGUGGGGUAACGGCUCACCAAGGCGACGGUGCAUAGCCGACCUGAGAGGGUGAUCGGCCACACUGGGACUGAGACACGGCCCAGACUCCUACGGGAGGCAGCAGUAGGGAAUCUUCCACAAUGGACGAAAGUCUGAUGGAGCAACGCCGCGUGAGUGAUGAAGGUUUUCGGAUCGUAAAACUCUGUUGUAAGGGAAGAACACGUACGAGAGGAAAUGCUCGUACCUUGACGGUACCUUACGAGAAAGCCACGGCUAACUACGUGCCAGCCGCCGCGGUAA
rnacentral:rRNA from 1 species